rnacentral:rRNA from 1 species
GUGGGGAAUAUUGGACAAUGGGCGCAAGCCUGAUCCAGCCAUGCCGCGUGUGUGAAGAAGGCCUUCGGGUUGUAAAGCACUUUUGUUGGGAAAGAAAAGCAUCCGGUUAAUACCCGGGUGUUCUGACGGUACCCAAAGAAUAAGCACCGGCUAACUUCGUGCCAGCAGCCGCGGUAAUACGAAGGGUGCAAGCGUUACUCGGAAUUACUGGGCGUAAAGCGUGCGUAGGUGGUUUGUUAAGUCAGAUGUGAAAGCCCCGGGCUCAACCUGGGAAUUGCAUUUGAUACUGGCAGACUAGAGUGCGGUAGAGGAGAGUGGAAUUCCCGGUGUAGCAGUGAAAUGCGUAGAGAUCGGGAGGAACAUCAGUUGCGAAGGCGGCUCUCUGGACCAGCACUGACACUGAGGCACGAAAGCGUGGGGAGCAAACAGGAUUAGAUACCCCAGUAGUCC